rnacentral:rRNA from 1 species
CUGGCGGCGUGCCUAAUACAUGCAAGUCGAGCGGACAGAUGGGAGCUUGCUCCCUGAUGUUAGCGGCGGACGGGUGAGUAACACGUGGGUAACCUGCCUGUAAGACUGGGAUAACUCCGGGAAACCGGGGCUAAUACCGGAUGGUUGUUUGAACCGCAUGGUUCAGACAUAAAAGGUGGCUUCGGCUACCACUUACAGAUGGACCCGCGGCGCAUUAGCUAGUUGGUGAGGUAACGGCUCACCAAGGCGACGAUGCGUAGCCGACCUGAGAGGGUGAUCGGCCACACUGGGACUGAGACACGGCCCAGACUCCUACGGGAGGCAGCAGUAGGGAAUCUUCCGCAAUGGACGAAAGUCUGACGGAGCAACGCCGCGUGAGUGAUGAAGGUUUUCGGAUCGUAAAGCUCUGUUGUUAGGGAAGAACAAGUGCCGUUCAAAUAGGGCGGCACCUUGACGGUACCUAACCAGAAAGCCACGGCUAACUACGUGCCAGCAGCCGCGGUAAUACGUAGGUGGCAAGCGUUGUCCGAAUUAUUGGGCGUAAGGGCUCGCAGGCGGUU